CCGCCCCUGCCGCCGCGGUGGCGGCCCGGCGCGGCUGUUGGCUGUUGCCAUGGCUCCGGCAAGCCGGGGGAGCCCAAUGAGGUGUCUGCGGCAGUGCUGAAAGGACCAGCCAUUUUGCUUAUGGGAAACAAUGUGACAUGUUAUGCUGUGCUGUACCGGGGAAUAAACAAAAAUCUCUUCGGAGGAAGCAGAAGAAACGGGCACGUUAGUGAGUAAUUGCGGUGGCUUAGUGUGCUUGCAAGCUGCCAUUUUGACAAGGUGGUGGUUGCCGUUCCUGCUAGCUGGUCAGAGGAGGUGGAAUGCAGGGUGAUAAUGCUGCAUAUCUGCUGUCAGGCAGCGGAGCGGGGUUUUGUCUUGUAAAGGCAAGGUUCCUCUGCAGUGUUAUCUGAGCGGCUCUUUAGCUGCUCCGAGUGAAAGCUUGUGAUCCAGAAGGGUGUUGUCCUUCCUUCUGCUGCUCUGGCGUUCCGCUGACCCUGGGAAACAGCCACUACUAAGACGCAGGUGUGCGGUUGAGCUGGGCUCGGUGCUGCAGGCUGGGCGAGAGCCCCUUCUCAGGCUUACGUCCUGCUAUUAGCAGGUUUGCUUCGGCGCUUUCACCUCUGGGCUCUUCCACAAAAGAAAGCUGCUGUGCAUCUCGGCUUGUGUGAGAGAGACUCUUGCAUGUGAAGUCGAUAAUUUCUUGAGAGAAACCUUCAUUAAGGGCUAAAUAAACAAGAUCUACAUAUACAGAAAUUUACUUUCUCUGCAUUUGAGACACAGCUAAACUCAUCUGUCUGGAAAUCUGAAGACUUUUAUAGCAAAUCCUCCAGUGUCAAAAUGAACACAGAUAGCGGUGGGUGUGCUCGCAAACGUGCUGCAAUGUCUGUCACAUUAACAGCUGUGAAGAGAGUUCAGAGUUCUCCAAACCUAUUGGCCUCAGGUAUAACUGCUUACCAGGGAGAUAUUGCUCCUGAAUGGCUUUUCUAUUGUGUUGUGCGUUCCUGCAAUAUGACUGCAAGGAAGAGAAGGGUAACUGUAUU
rnacentral:lncRNA from 1 species